AACAAAAGCAAGAACGGGUUGCCACGGAUUCAUCACCGAAUCGAAUCAACAUAGUAACCUAAACCACCGGAGGACUCUUCUUGUGCGUGGAUAAAAGAAGGCGAAGAGAAGAACUUACCAGCGGAAGAGGAGUUCAAAACAGUUGGAAGGCUGAGAAGGGUCCAGAAGAUUUGUUGUGGAGGUUAGUUCCUAUUAUGGAGGAUUGCAGGGUGAUGCUUAAUGGAUGCUGAAGAUUGAAGAUUAAAAACUGGGAGGCAGAAAGAAGAUGAAGGAAGCAGAAUGAAGAAAAAAAUGCAGCAAUCCCCUCAGAAUUACAGUGAGGUUAGUUUAUAUAGAGUUUUAGAAUUUGUUAGAUUCUGUUAGGUUUGUUAGUUAUGAAUGAAUCCAGUUAUGGUUAAGGAGUUGUUGAGAGCGAAAAAUUAUGUUAUGUGAUGCUAUGAGUUAGUUACAUGGAAACGGUCAGAUUACUUUUAUCAGAAAUUCUGUUAGAUAGUUAUAUGAAGUUAGAAAUUCUGAAAUUCAAAGUGAAAUGCAACGUAUUUGGUUUAAACAAUGAGGUUAUUAGUUAUGAAAUUGUAGUUUAUUA
rnacentral:lncRNA from 1 species